UACAGAGGUGGCAAGCGUUGUUCGGAAUUACUGGGCGUAAAGGGCGCGUAGGCGGCCUUCUAAGUCAGACGUGAAAUCCCCCGGCUUAACCUGGGAACUGCGUCUGAUACUGGGAGGCUCGAGUAUGAGAGAGGGAUGUAGAAUUCCAGGUGUAGCGGUGAAAUGCGUAGAUAUCUGGAGGAACACCGGUGGCGAAGGCGGGUCUCUGGGCCGAAAUUGACGCUGAGGAGCGAAAGCGUGGGGAGCAAACAGG
rnacentral:rRNA from 1 species